rnacentral:rRNA from 1 species
GAAUUGUAAUGGGGGUUGAUGCUGGCACGCUGCCUUUUGGCUUGCAUGUGCUCGCCCCCAACAAUCCUUUAUCCCAAACACCUGUGCAUCUUUUGGAAGGGGGUUUCAAGCAGGCUUACUGCUAGAAUUCUCCCUUUCUUCACAUAUACACUCUUUUCAAUCUUGAAUGUGAUUCUGCCGUUAAGGCAUUAAUAUAAUACAACUUUUAACAACGGAUCUCUUGGCUCUCGCAUCGAUGAAGAACGCAGCGAAAUGCGAUAAGUAAUGUGAAUUGCAGAAUUCAGUGAAUCAUCGAAUCUUUGAACGCACCUUGCGCUCCUUGGUAUUCCGAGGAGCACGCCUGUUCGAGUGUCGUGAAGUUCUCAAGCUUUAGAUGCUUUUUGUUUGACAAAUAUGCUCCCUAAGCUUGGUAUUGGGCUUUGCCGUGUCCCGUCUUGGAACGGCUGGUCUUAAAUGCAUUAGCUUGGCCCCUCAUCUGGCAUUGGUUCUACUCAGUGUGAUAAUUAUCUGACCGCUGAGGACAUCUUUUGGGAUGGCCAAUUCUUGUUGGGGUUGCUUUCUAAUCUGGUUUACUGGAUUCUUGAAAUCCGGUGCCACUUUCAAUUUUGACCUCGAAUCAGGUGGGACUACCCGCUGAACUUAAGCAUAUCAAUAA